GACGAACGCUGGCGGCGUGCUUAACACAUGCAAGUCGAACGGAAAGGCCUCUUUCGGGGGGUACUCGAGUGGCGAACGGGUGAGUAACACGUGAGUAACCUGCCCUUGACUUUGGGAUAACUUCAGGAAACUGGGGCUAAUACCGGAUAGGAGCUCCUGCUGCAUGGUGGGGGUUGGAAAGUUUCGGCGGUUGGGGAUGGACUCGCGGCUUAUCAGCUUGUUGGUGGGGUAGUGGCUUACCAAGGCUUUGACGGGUAGCCGGCCUGAGAGGGUGACCGGCCACAUUGGGACUGAGAUACGGCCCAGACUCCUACGGGAGGCAGCAGUGGGGAAUAUUGCACAAGGGGUGGAAGCCUGAUGCAGCAACGCCGUGUGCGGGAUGGCGGCCUUCGGGUUGUAAACCGCUUUCGCUCAUGACGAAGCUUUGUGUGACGGUAGUGGGUAAAGAAGCACCGGCUAACUACGUG
rnacentral:rRNA from 1 species